rnacentral:lncRNA from 1 species
AAGCAUUAGGGGAGCCCACGGCUACAAAACAAGUGAGAAGAGGUGGGAGAAAGAGAAACUACGCCACCUCCUCUGCAGCCGAGCGCACGCAGCAGCCUGGCGUGACAAGUGGGCGACGCCAGGGACAGAGAGUGGGGGUCCUCCGCCCGCUCCGGGGACCCUGUCGCCCACCGUGGUGCGCUGAGCAACUUUUAGCCGGCAGCCCCGCACCUGUCUCAGAGUCCCCAUCGCUCCCCACCAACCAUCAUGGGAAAAUUCUAGAAGAAUACGCUCUCGGAAUCUACGUGCGCAUCAUUUUCCUCCUCACUCCAGAGGAAGGAACCAGAAAAGAGAGCAAAGCGGUGUAGUGUUCAGCCUCAAGGCAUCUCGUUGAUUCCUAGCGUUAGAAGAACUGAGCUAACAGGAGUCUGCCACCUCUCUGCCUUGCUGAUGCACCCAGGCAGGGCUCACUGGUUUGCAGGAGUACAUGACCACAGAUCAGAGCCAUUGCAGGCUGCACAGAUACCUGACUCUGGGCUCUCAGGAAGACUCAGGCAGAGAUGGGGAGUCGGCCUGCAAGCUGGGACGCUAGAGCUCACGUGCAGUUCUCCAUUUAGCUAGGAGGUUUCCAGGGCAACCACCGAAGCAGUAAUUAAAGAUGAAGAGCUAAAA